AAAGCAUCUCUCUGUCUGCUCUCCUCGCGAGUACAAAAAGAAUUUAACUCUCUUGUCUUUCCUGUGUUUUGUUUAAUAGGUAUUUAGACCUGACAUUAUUUUGGUCCUUCGAUUGCCGGUCGCCAAUACACCAGAGGGAUUCCUGCAGGUUUGGUCGACUUCGGUACAGACCGUGCGCACGGCAAGUUUCCUAGUGGAAGCUUAUCAGAUCCUGUUCAAGGGCUGAGGUUCGACCUGCCUGCUGGGAUCUGACGGUUGACGGUGCUCCAGGGAAAGACAACGGGGGAAAAUCUCUUAGUGGAACCUGGAGAUUGGGUGCUGAUAAAAAGCAUUAAGAAGAAACACUGGUACUCUCCGAAGUGGGAAGGGCCGUACCAAGUUUUGUUGACAACGCCUACAGCUGUGAAAAUAGCAGAGAGAUCAACUUGGGUACAUUUAGUACAUUGCAAAAAGGUCAUUUCAUUUUAAAAGUAGCUAAAAGAAGACAAGCUUGGGACGCUCACUGACCUGCAGCGGAAAGCCCAGGUAAACAGGGGGCUAAACUGAAUAGAGGUUUGGUCGUUUGAAACUGGUGAAGAUUGUCCACAACCCUGCAGUGUUUUUAGGAGCUGAACAAGUUUGCAAAUUUAGCAAAAUGACAAAUAAAUGUAUUGUUUUUGUUUU